GGUCGCCCGUGAUGUCACUCUUUUGGAAGAAAAUGGCAGCAAUCCGCGGUCCAGCCGGCCAAUCAGGAAGCGAGAAUGAGAGAGGACGUAAACCAACGUGGCUUGGAAGGCCGAAGUCGCGGCGGGGUUGGAGGUCAGCAUGCCGACCACGUUCAGGCACUCGGGCAGCUCCUGCAGGUCAAGGCCAGUCGGUGUUAAUUUGAGCGCUUCUUUGGCGUGCGGCGGGCGACUACCUCUUUGCUGGUGAGCCUGAUGAAGAUAUCUCCCAUGAUGCCUUGCCACUGGCAGCGGAGGACUCGCUCCUGCAGG